rnacentral:rRNA from 1 species
UGGGGAAUAUUGGACAAUGGGGGGAACCCUGAUCCAGCCAUGCCGCGUGUGUGAAGAAGGUCUUCGGAUUGUAAAGCACUUUAAGUUGGGAGGAAGAGCUCCGGGCUAAUACCCUGCGAGUUUUGACGUUACCAACAGAAUAAGCACCGGCNUAACUUCGUG